GGGGUUGUGGCUCAGUGGUAGAGCACUUGCCUAGCACAUGCGAGGACCUGAGUUCAAUCCUCAGCACCA
rnacentral:tRNA from 1 species